AUUGAACGCUGGCGGAAUGCUUUACACAUGCAAGUCGAGCGGCAGCGCGGGGCAACCUGGCGGCGAGCGGCGAACGGGUGAGUAAUACAUCGGAACGUGCCCAGACGUGGGGGAUAACUACUCGAAAGAGUGGCUAAUACCGCAUACGAUCUAAGGAUGAAAGCGGGGGAUCGCAAGACCUCGCGCGUUUGGAGCGGCCGAUGGCAGAUUAGGUAGUUGGUGGGGUAAAGGCUUACCAAGCCCGCGAUCUGUAGCUGGUCUGAGAGGAUGAUCAGCCACACUGGGACUGAGACACGGCCCAGACUCCUACGGGAGGCAGCAGUGGGGAAUUUUGGACAAUGGGCGAAAGCCUGAUCCAGCCAUUCCGCGUGCAGGAUGAAGGCCCUCGGGUUGUAAACUGCUUUUGUACAGAACGAAAAGACUCUUUCUAAUACAGAGAGUCCAUGACGGUACUGUAAGAAUAAGCACCGGCUAACUACGUGCCAGCAGCCGCGGU
rnacentral:rRNA from 1 species